rnacentral:rRNA from 1 species
UACCGUUAGUAACGGCGAGUGAAGCGGUAAAAGCUCAAAUUUGAAAUCUGGUACUUUCAGUGCCCGAGUUGUAAUUUGUAGAAUUUGUCUUUGAUUAGGUCCUUGUCUAUGUUCCUUGGAACAGGACGUCAUAGAGGGUGAGAAUCCCGUUUGGCGAGGAUACCUUUUCUCUGUAAGACUUUUUCGAAGAGUCGAGUUGUUUGGGAAUGCAGCUCAAAGUGGGUGGUAAAUUCCAUCUAAAGCUAAAUAUUGGCGAGAGACCGAUAGCGAACAAGUACAGUGAUGGAAAGAUGAAAAGAACUUUGAAAAGAGAGUGAAAAAGUACGUGAAAUUGUUGAAAGGGAAGGGCAUUUGAUCAGACAUGGUGUUUUUUGCAUGCACUCGCCUCUCGUGGGCUUGGGCCUCUCAAAAAUUUCACUGGGCCAACAUCAAUUCUGGCAGCAGGAUAAAUCAUUAAGAAUGUAGCUACUUCGGUAGUGUUAUAGCUUUUUGGAAUACUGUUAGCCGGGAUUGAGGACUGCGCUUCGGCAAGGAUGUUGGCAUAAUGGUUAAAUGCCGCCCGUCUAAAAACCGGGACCAAAAAAAAAAAACCAAAUGUAAAAAAAAA